rnacentral:rRNA from 1 species
UACGUAGGCAGCUAGCGUUGUUCGGAGUUACUGGGCGUAAAGGGCGCGUAGGCGGUUUUUUAAGUUUGGUGUGAAAUCUCCCGGCUCAACUGGGAGGGUGCGCCGAAUACUGAAAGACUAGAGUACGGGAGAGGAAAGUGGAAUUCCUGGUGUAGCGGUGAAAUGCGUAGAUAUCAGGAGGAACACCGGUGGUGUAGACGGCUUUCUGGACCGUAACUGACGCUGAGGCGCGAAAGCGUGGGUAGCAAACAGG